AACGAACGCUGGCGGCAGGCUUAGCACAUGCAAGUCGAACGCCCCGCAAGGGGAGUGGCAGACGGGUGAGUAACGCGUGGGAAUCUACCCAGAUCUACGGAACAACAGUUGGAAACGACUGCUAAUACCGCAUACGCCCUACGGGGGAAAGAUUUAUCGGAUUUGGAUGAGCCCGCGUUGGAUUAGCUAGUUGGUGGGGUAAUGGCCUACCAAGGCGACGAUCCAUAGCUGGUCUGAGAGAAUGAUCAGCCACACUGGGACUGAGACACGGCCCAGACUCCUACGGGAGGCAGCAGUGGGGAAUAUUGGACAAUGGGCGCAAGCCUGAUCCAGCCAUGCCGCGUGAGUGAUGAAGGCCUUAGGGUUGUAAAGCUCUUUCACCGAUGAAGAUAAUGACGGUAGUCGGAGAAGAAGCCCCGGCUAACUUCGUGCCAGCAGCCGCCGUAAUAC
rnacentral:rRNA from 1 species